GUUCUCCAGACUGUGAUGUUUUUUUUUCCAAGCACAUAUCUGACCUGCAUAUGAUGCAUCAUUGUUACUGAGUCUUGAC